rnacentral:rRNA from 1 species
UACAGAGGUCCCAAGCGUUGUUCGGAUUCAUUGGGCGUAAAGGGCGCGUAGGCGGUCGUGACAAGUCACUUGUCAAAUCUCCGGGCUUAACUCGGAACGGUCAAGUGAUACUGUCGGACUAGAGUACAGAAGGGGCAACUGGAAUUCUCGGUGUAGCGGUGAAAUGCGUAGAUAUCGAGAGGAACACCUGCGGCGAAGGCGGGUUGCUGGGCUGAUACUGACGCUGAGGCGCGAAAGCCAGGGGAGCGAACGGG